AUUCAGGACCCCCAAGACCAAGUUCUCACAACAAAGGGAAUUUAUUUACCCUGGAGGGACAAAGGGCAGGGAACAAGUCGCCAAGACAGAAGAUAGAGGAUGGGAAAAAGGGGGAAGGAAAUAAGGGAGAGGAAGGAUGGGAAUUUGUCCUUGGAGGACAGUGCACUGCUUUUGGAUAGAAAGGAGACUGACAUGGCCCAUAGGAAAAUGGCAGUUUAUAAAGCAAGGUAGAGAUGCUGGGGAAGAAGGGGAAGGCUGCUGGAGCCACAUGUUCAGGAGAAUCCUGACAUAGAAGAACAGUUCCGGGGGCCGGAGUGAUCCAACCCUGUCAUUUAUCACACACGCGUGGAAAUGAGUGACAUGGUUCAGUGCAAUAAUCCAGAAAGAAAUCAUACUUCCAAGGGAAAGGAUGGUUGCAACCAUAGAACUGCGAAUAACAGACCAGAUGGCAGAUGAGAAAAAAGAAGCACAUGCAGCCCAUAGGUCUGGGUCCCUGUGUUUAUGUCAGUGUGUCUUCGGGUGGAUGGAAGCAUACUUGCCCUAUGUACACAGAGCAGCAGCUGUCAACUGAACUAUCUUCUCACCUCAGCCUACAGAACCGACUGACUGGCUACUUGUACCCACUACAGUUUCUAGCAGUUGAUUCCAUUGCUGAGCUCAAGAACCGGGGCUGCAGAUUAUCUGUGCUCUCUGUCUGCUUCACAGCCAGUGAAAGUCAUCUCUCCAGGGAUAUAAUUAAAGUCUGCAAGUAAACACCACAAAUCAAUCAAGCAAUAAACGAAACCCAGUUUCUUAACUUCUAGUUCAUUGUUGAAAUUAAAGUUAUGAAAUAUGUUUUCUUGAA